rnacentral:rRNA from 1 species
UACGUAGGGUGCUAGCGUUGUCCGGAAUCAUUGGGCGUAAAGAGCGCGUAGGCGGCGCGGUAAGUCACUUGUGAAAUCUCUGAGCUUAACUCAGAACGGCCAAGUGAUACUGCAGUGCUAGAGUGCAGAAGGGGCAAUCGGAAUUCUUGGUGUAGCGGUGAAAUGCGUAGAUAUCAAGAGGAACACCUGAGGUGAAGACGGGUUGCUAGGCUGACACUGACGCUGAGGCGCGAAAGCCAGGGGAGCAAACGGG